ensembl:lncRNA
CAUCCCAGAGCUGGGAUCCCAGUCCCAGAUCCAGGAUCCCAGUCCCGAUCCCAGUCCCAAUCCCAGUCCUGUGAUCCCAGUCCCAAAUCCUCGAUCCCAGUAUGAAAAUAACAGUCCCAGUCCCAAAACUGUGAUCCCAGUCCCAGAUCCAGGAUCCCAGUCCCAAAUCCAUGAUCCCAAUCCCGGAUCCAUGAUCCCAGAAUAACAAUCCCAGUAUGAAAAUAACAAUCCCAGUAUGAAAAUAGCGAUCCCAGUCCCAGAUCCUUGAUUCCAGUCCCAAUCCCAGUCCUGUGAU